UUUUACGUCCCCGUUUCCAGUGAAAACGGGGGUAGCAAUUGUCUGCGGCAGAACCGAGACCAACGCGUGGAAACGUACUUUUUGCUUCGCCACAACUGAGGUACACUUCUGCUAGUACCAUCCUCAGCCCCUACGGGUACAGACUUCUCGCCGACAGAUCGGCCCGCGUCUGACUAACUAGUAGGGGAGGUAAUGACUCACCAAGGCGACCAUCAGUACCUGCCCUUAGAGGAUGAUCAGCCACAUUGGGACUGACACACGGCCCAAACUCCUACGGGAGGCAGCAGUGCCCAAUAUUGCACAAUGGGUGCCAGCCGGAGCCACCCUUGCCUGGUGAGUGAUAAAGGCCCUACGAUUGUCAAGCUCUUUUCUCCGGGCAGAUAUUGACGGUACCUCUAGAAUAAGCCCCGGCUAACUUCCUGCCAGCACCCGCGGCAAUACCAAGGGAGCUAGCGAUGCUCGGAAUCACUGGCCGUAAAGGGUGCGUAGGCGGGUCUUUAAGUCCUGCGUGAAAUCCUGGAUCUCAACUCCUGAACUGCCUUUGAUACUGAACAUCUUGAGUUCCGUAGAGGUGAGUUGAACUGCGAGUGUACAGGUGAAAUUCUGCGAUAUUCGCUAGAACACCCGCGGGGAAGGCGGCCCACUUGACCCGAGACUGUCCUCUGAUUCCCGCAAGCACUGGCGAGGAAAAAAGAAUUAGGAUUUCCUUGGCAGUCCUACUCCCGUAAACGAUGAAAUGCUCACGCGGUCUAGUGGGGCUCUACUCUCCUCAUGGGGGGGCGCCUUACGGCUUUUAAGACAAAUACCUCC
rnacentral:rRNA from 1 species